UACGUAGGGUGCAAGCGUUAUCCGGAAUUAUUGGGCGUAAAGAGCUCGUAGGCGGUCUGUCGCGUCUGCUGUGAAAUCUGGGGGCUCAACCCCCAGCCUGCAGUGGGUACGGGCAGACUAGAGUGCGGUAGGGGAGAUUGGAACUCCUGGUGUAGCGGUGAAAUGCGCAGAUAUCAGGAGGAACACCGGUGGCGAAGGCGGGUCUCUGGGCCGAUACUGACGCUGGAGGAGCGAAAGCGUGGGGAGCGAACAGG
rnacentral:rRNA from 1 species